rnacentral:lncRNA from 1 species
AAGAAAAUACACUCCGAUAUCACGAUGAAAAACUCAGAAAGGUGUCCGAUAGGUCGGAAUCUUCAUCGACCAUGAGGUCUCAGAAAACACCCCCAAAAAAUCUCGAAACAGACUUCAUCCAAGAAAACGAAGUACAUAUAAACAUAGUCGGAUCGUCGUCUAGGCUUUGAUACCAUGUUAACAUCGAGAUUAAACCGAAAAAUGAUGAAGAAUGUAGAGAGAGAAAGUAGAGAG